rnacentral:other from 1 species
AGUUCCCUGCUUUUCGCGUGACGGGCCUUUUUAAACCCACAUUUCCAAAUCGGGAUUCCGUCUUCCGCCGCGGUUUGCAGGCCUCCUGGCCGCCUUUGGCGCGCCGGAUGUUGGAAGCAGUAAAGCGGCGGAGAGGUUGCCCACCUGCCGAGUCGUGCAGGUUAUAAAUGGGUUCGCACGGUCACAGCGGGGCUCCA